rnacentral:rRNA from 1 species
AUACGGAGGGGGCAAGCGUUGUUCGGAAUUACUGGGCGUAAAGGGCGCGUAGGCGGAUUGUCAAGUCAGAGGUGAAAGCCCUGGGCUCAACCUGGGAACUGCCUUUGAAACUAACAGUCUCGAGUCCGAGAGAGGAUGGCGGAAUUCCCAGUGUAGAGGUGAAAUUCGUAGAUAUUGGGAAGAACACCCGUGGCGAAGGCGGCCAUCUGGCUCGGUACUGACGCUGAGGCGCGAAAGCGUGGGGAGCAAACAGGAUUAGAAACCCCGGUAGUCC